rnacentral:rRNA from 1 species
CAGGAUGAACGCUAGCGAUAGGCUAACACAUGCAAGUCGAGGGGCAGCACGGUGUAGCAAUACACGUGGUGGCGACCGGCGUACGGGUGCGUAACACGUAUGCAACCUACCCGCUAGUGGGGGAUAACCCGGCGAAAGUCGGACUAAUACCCCAUAUUAUUCUUACCGGGCAUCCGGUAGGUCUGAAAGAUUUAUCGAUUGCGGAUGGGCAUGCGGAUGAUUAGCUAGUAGGUGGGGUAACGGCUCACCUAGGCGACGAUCAUUAGGGGUUCUGAGAGGAAGGUCCCCCACACUGGAACUGAGACACGGUCCAGACUCCUACGGGAGGCAGCAGUGAGGAAUAUUGGUCAAUGGGCGCUAGCCUGAACCAGCCAAGUCGCGUGAAGGAUGACAGAUCUAUGGUUUGUAAACUUCUUUUGCAGGGGAGUAAAGUGCGACACGUGUGUUGUAUUGCAAGUACCCUGCGAAUAAGCAUCGGCUAACUCCGUGCCAGCCGCAGC